CCUACGUGAGGCAGCAGUGAGGAAUAUUGGUCAAUGGGCGGGAGCCUGAACCAGCCAAGCCGCGUGAGGGAAGAAGGUACAGCGUAUCGUAAACCUCUUUUGUCAGGGAACAAAGGCGGGGACUAGUCCCCGGAUGAGGGUACCUGAAGAAAAAGCAUCGGCUAACUCCGUGCCAGCAGCCGCGGUAAUACGGAGGAUGCGAGCGUUAUCCGGAUUUAUGGGGUUUAAAGGGUGCGCAGGCGGCCUGUUAAGUCAGCGGGAAAAGCCCGGGGCUCAACCCCGGCGAGCCGUUGAAACUGGCGGGCUGGAGUUGGAGAGAAGUACGCGGAAUGCGCGGUGUAGCGGUGAAAUGCUUAGAUAUCGCGCAGAACCCCGAUUGCGAAGGCAGCGUACCGGCUCCACACUGACGCUGAGGCACGAAAGCGUGGGUAUCGAACAGGAUUAGAUACCCCUGUAGUC
rnacentral:rRNA from 1 species